AUUGAACGCUGGCGGCAGGCCUAACACAUGCAAGUCGAGCGAGCGGCGGACGGGUGAGUAAUGUCUGGGAAACUGCCUGAUGGAGGGGGAUAACUACUGGAAACGGUAGCUAAUACCGCAUACCAUCAGAUGUGCCCCGAUGGGAUUAGCCAGAAGGUGGGGUACCGGCUCACCUAGGCGACGAUCCCUAGCUGGUCUGAGAGGAUGACCAGCAACUCUGGAGCGGGUGCAGGGUCCAGACUCCUACGGGAGGCAGCAGGGGGGAAUAUUGCACAAUGGGCGCAAGCCUGCUGCAGCCAUGCCGCGUGUGUGAAGGAGGCCUUCGGGUUGUAAAGCACUUUCAGCGGGGAGGCGUUACCCGCAGAAGAAGCACCGGCUAACUCCGUGCCAGCAGCCGCGGUAAUUC
rnacentral:rRNA from 1 species